GAUGAAGAACGUAGCGAAAUGCGAUAAGUAAUGUGAAUUGCAGAAUUCAGUGAAUCAUCGAAUCUUUGAACGCACAUUGCGCCCGCCAGUAUUCUGGCGGGCAUGCCUGUUCGAGCGUCAUUUCAACCAUCAAGCCCUGCUUGCGUUGGGGUCCUGCGGCUGCCCGCAGGCCCUGAAAACCAGUGGCGGGCUUGCUAGUCACACCGAGCGCAGUAAUACAUCUCGCUUUGGGCGUGCGGCGGGUUCUUGCCGUUAAACACCCCCUUUUUACCAAGGUUGACCUCGGAUCAGGUAGGAAUACCCGCUGAACUUAAGCAUAUCAAUAAGCGGAGGA
rnacentral:misc_RNA from 1 species